GAGAGAGAGAGAGAGAUUGUGGAGAAAACAAAUAAAGAGAGAUUGAUUGCGAGGAUUAACUGUUGGGUCUCUCGGGAUCAUUUCAGCGAGAAUGUCUGUGCUAUUCUGUUGCUGUGUCUCUCCUUCCGAAGACAAUGACGAGAGACAGCCUCUACUUCACACCAAGCCUUCAAAAUCAGCUAAACCAGAGUCGGACAGACAGCCUCGACCAGCACACACAGUGAGCCAGAGUGGGCGCUUGGUCCCAAAGCGUGUGGGUCUAAUAGACGUGGACCAGCGGUUCUCUGAUGUAGCCAUGACGUUCAACCAACAACAGGAGAACUAUGAUGCCAUGAAGGAACGCAUCAUCUCUCUGCGACGCACCUACGACUGUAACAAUGACAGCAACCUGACACUUACGGAGUGUGUGAGGAAGAUUAAAGAGGAGCACAGUGAGACACACACACACACAUUUGUUUUAGUAUCCUUGUGAGGACCAAACAAUUGAUUCCCAUUCAAAAUCCUAUUUUCCCUAACCCCUAACCCCUAACCCUUAAUCUAACCCCUUAACCUAACCCCUUAACCUAACCCUUACCCUAACCCUUAACCUAACCCUUACCCUAACCCUUACCCUAACCCUUAACCUAACCCUUACCCUAACCCUUAACCUAACCCCUUACCCUAACCCUUACCCUAACCCUUAACCUAACCCUUACCCUAACCCCUUACCCUAACCCAUAACCUAACCCAUAACCUAACCCCUUACCCUAACCCUUAACCUAACCCCUUACCCUAACCCUUACCCUAACCCUUAACCUAACCCUUACCCUAACCCCUUACCCUAACCCAUAACCUAACCCAUAACCUAACCCCUUACCCUAACCCCUUAACCUAACCCCUAAUUGUAACCUUAACCUAAAACAGCCUUUUUUCCUUGUGGAGACCGGCUAAAUUUCCCCACUUGUCUGAAUUUUCCUUGUUUUACUAUCAUUGUGAGGACUUCUGGUCCCCAUGAGGAUAGUGAAACCAACCAAAAGAAAACACGCAGGCAUAACAGAGCCAUGCCAGUCCUCUCUCUCUUCCUGACCUCACACAGUUCCAACUCCAUCAUCAAGUUCGCUGACGACACGACAGUUGUAGGCCUGAUUACCAACAACGACGAGACGGCCUACAGAGAGGAUGUAAGCACUCUGACGGCAUGGUGCCAUUUAAACGUUUCUCCCUCAACGGCAGCAAAACAAAGGAGCUGAUUGUGGACUUCAGGAGGAACCGGGCUAGGCAUGCCCACAUCCUUAUCAACUGGGCAGCCGCGGUGACGGUCAAAACCCACCAAGUUCCUAGGCGUACACAUCUCCGAGGAGCUGAAACGGUCAACCCACUCGGAUACCGGGGUGAAGAAAGCACGACAGCGACUCUUCAACCUCAGGACAUUCUACUUCUCACUUCCUCCCCAUUGCUCCCCCUAUGGACAUUCCCUCUGGAACAUUCCACCCCCCCUCCCCCUACCCUCAUCCCCAAUGGACAUUCCCUCUGGAACAUUCCACUCC